rnacentral:rRNA from 1 species
UGGGGAAUCUUGCGCAAUGGGCGAAAGCCUGACGCAGCAACGCCGCGUGGGGGACGAAGGCUUUCGGGUUGUAAACCCCUUUCAGCAGGAACGAAAUUGACGGUACCUGCAGAAGAAGCCCCGGCUAACUACGUGCCAGCAGCCGCGGUAAUACGUAGGGGGCGAGCGUUGUCCGGAUUCAUUGGGCGUAAAGAGCUCGUAGGCGGCUUCGUAAGUCGGGUGUGAAAGCCCCAGGCUCAACCUGGGGAUGCCACUCGAUACUGCGAUAGCUAGAGUCUGGUAGGGGAUCACGGAAUUCCUGGUGUAGCGGUGAAAUGCGCAGAUAUCAGGAGGAACACCGGUGGCGAAGGCGGUGGUCUGGGCCAGUACUGACGCUGAGGAGCGAAAGCGUGGGGAGCAAACAGG